rnacentral:rRNA from 1 species
AUUGAACGCUGGCGGCAUGCCUUACACAUGCAAGUCGAACGGCAGCACGGGUGCUUGCACCUGGUGGCGAGUGGCGAACGGGUGAGUAAUACAUCGGAACAUGUCCUGUAGUGGGGGAUAGCCCGGCGAAAGCCGGAUUAAUACCGCAUACGAUCUACGGAUGAAAGCGGGGGACCUUCGGGCCUCGCGCUAUAGGGUUGGCCGAUAGCUGAUUAGCUAGUUGGUGGGGUAAAGGCCUACCAAGGCGACGAGCAGUAGCUGGUCUGAGAGGACGACCAGCCACACUGAGCCUGAGACCCGGCCCAGACUCCUACGGGAGGCAGCAGUGGGGAAUUUUGGACAAUGGGCGAAAGCCUGAUCCAGCAAUGCCGCGUGUGUGAAGAAGGCCUUCGGGUUGUAAAGCACUUUUGUCCGGAAAGAAAUCCUUGGCUCUAAUACAGUCGGGGGAUGACGGUACCGGAAGAAUAAGCACCGGCUAACUACGU